GGUAUCAUGGCUCAGUGGGAAGAGCCCGGGCUUGGGAGUCAGAGGUCAUGGGUUCGAAUCCCAUCUCUGCCA
rfam:Ornithorhynchus anatinus chromosome X3, whole genome shotgun sequence.